rnacentral:snoRNA from 10 species
CCCUCCUACAAAGGCGUGUCUGUAGUUCCCUGUCUUUGGACACGUAAGAAUCGGAGGAAGAGAAACGUGGAUUUGGAGAAGUCUGGGGCCAGCUUGCUUCCUGCAGGCUCAAGAUCAACCAUCCAACAGAG